ensembl:lncRNA
CCUCACUCUCAGAGAAAUCAGUAGUACUGCUAGGUUUUACACAGUAAUAAUAUAUAUCUGCCUCACUCUCAGAGAAAUCAGUAGUACUGCUAGGUUUUACACAGUAAUAAUAUAUAUCUGCCUCACUCUCAGAGGAAUCAGUAGUACUGCUAGGUUUUACACAGUAAUAAUAUAUAUCUGCCUCACUCUCAGAGAAAUCAGUAGUACUGCUAGGUUUUACACAGUAAUAAUAUAUAUCUGCCUCACUCUCAGAGAAAUCAGUAGUACUGCUAGGUUUUACACAGUAAUAAUAUAUAUCUGCCUCACUCUCAGAGAAAUCAGUAGUACUGCUAGGUUUUACACAGUAAUAAUAUAUAUCUGCCUCACUCUCAGAGGAAUCAGUAGUACUGCUAGGUUUAAUACAGUAAUAAUAUAUAUCUGCCUCACUCUCAGAGGAAUCAGUAGUACUGCUAGGUUUUACACAGUAAUAAUAUAUAUCUGCCUCACUCUCAGAGGAAUCAGUAGUACUGCUAGGUUUUACACAGUAAUAAUAUAUAUCUGCCUCACUCUCAGAGAAAUCAGUAGUACUGCUAGGUUUUACACAGUAAUAAUAUAUAUCUGCCUCACUCUCAG